GCGGGUGUAGUUUAGUGGUAAAACUACAGCCUUCCAAGCUGUUGUCGUGGGUUCGAUUCCCCGAUUCCCAUCACCCGCUCCA
rnacentral:tRNA from 1 species